rnacentral:rRNA from 1 species
GACGAACCGAGCGGACGUUGUUCGGAAUCACUGGGCUUAAAGGGCGCGUAGGCGGGUGCUCAAGUCCGGGGUGAAAUCCUCCAGCUCAACUGGAGAACUGCCUCGGAUACUGGGUGCCUCGAGUGUGGUAGGGGUGUGCGGAACUAUCGGUGGAGCGGUGAAAUGCGUUGAUAUCGAUAGGAACUCCGGUGGCGAAGGCGGCACACUGGACCACAACUGACGCUGAGGCGCGAAAGCCAGGGGAGCAAACGGG